ACAGGGGGGGCAAGCGUUGUUCGGAAUUACUGGGCGUAAAGGGUUCGUAGGUGGCCACUUAAGUCAGACGUGAAAUCCCUCAGCUUAACUGGGGAACUGCGUCUGAUACUGGGUGGCUUGAGUGCAGGAGAGGAAUGCGGAAUUCCAGGUGUAGCGGUGAAAUGCGUAGAUAUCUGGAGGAACACCGGUGGCGAAGGCGGCAUCCUGGACCGACACUGACGCUGAGGAGCGAAAGCCAGGGGAGCAAACGGGA
rnacentral:rRNA from 1 species